UCGGAUCGCAGGCUGCAACUCGCCUGCGUGAAGUUGGAAUUGCUAGUAAUCGCGGAUCAGCAUGCCGCGGUGAAUACGUUCCCGGGCCUUGUACACACCGCCCGUCACACCAUGGGAGUUUGUAACACCCGAAGUCAGUAUCCUAACCGCGAAGGGGGGAGCUGCCGAAGGUGGGAUAAGCGACUGGGGUGAAGUCGUAACAAGGUAGC
rnacentral:rRNA from 1 species